rnacentral:lncRNA from 1 species
CCCAAGUCAGAAAAAAAUGGUCUCUGAAGGGUUUUGGAAGGUCCAUGCUUGCACAAGAAAUAAGACUCUUUACAGUUCUGUGUGAUUGGAAGUUUUCGCACACUUGAGCUAAGACAUGGGAAGGUAAAUUAAAAAGAAAUCAGCACUGAAGGAGAGAAUGAGGAAGUCAUAGAGUGCACACACCCAGUCUGGGCCAAGGGUGUGCACUGAAGAUAAGCCAGUCCUACCUGCCUGUCCUGAUGUACCCAGACCUGGAUCCAUGGUCUCUUUUCAUAUCAGUGUUGAAUUUCACUUUGGUCUUUGCUGCCAAACGGAGAAAGCAUUGGCACGGAUAUUGGAAGUGGGCAGUUCUCCCACCCAGCAGGACAGUCUUCCUGAUACAAAGUCGCCACAGAGAAAUUUGCUGUCACCUCAUCCCUUAAAACGAAAGCCAGGAUGGAGGGACUCUCCACCAGGGGGCAAUGUAUCACAUGAUCAGAAAAAGUAAUAAAUUGAUAGCAAGCAGCCAUGUUUUGAAUUUUCAGCUUGUUGAUUAUUUUUCUUUUCUGAGACAGGGUCUCUCUACAUAACGGAGGCUGUCCUGAGACUCUAAAUAUAGAUGAGGCUGGUCUUGAACUCAUGGAAAUCCACUUGCCUUUGCAUCCUGAGUGCUGGGAUUAAAGGUGGCUGGUUGGUUUUACAUUUGAACUAACUUGAAAUAUCAGAAAAUCUAGCAAUUACUGGCUCUGCAUUUCUUCGUGGUAAGAACUGGUGUGGUUCAAGCCCAUUCUCAGCCUCAUUUUGACUAGCCAGGAAUUCUUUGGCACCCCAUCAUUUGUGUAAUAUAUGCUCGUGUCUUUAUGCUCACCUCCUGCAGUUUACCUGCCUGAUCUUUGCGGUGUUUCAGUUUAUGAAUACCUUGUGUAAACAAGGCUAUGACAUGAAAUAUAAUUGCAAGGAAGGUUAUGUAUAUUAAACUUAUAGGCUUUUUCAAAUUAAGAAAUGUUCACUUUGUUCAAAUUAUCAUUUUACCAUC